rnacentral:rRNA from 1 species
AAAAAAGUCGUAACAAGGUCUCCGUUGGUGAACCAGCGGAGGGAUCAUU